AAAAAAUAUCAAUGGAGAGUUUGAUCCUGGCUCAGGAUGAACGCUGGCGGUAUGCUUAACACAUGCAAGUCGUACGGGAAAGAUUUCUAUUUUUCCUAGUGGCGGACGGGUGCGUAACACGUAAGAACCUACCUUUUGGAGGGGGAUAACAUCGGGAAACUGAUGCUAAUACCCCGUAAUAGCUGAGGAGUGAAAGCGGUUUUCCGCGCCAAGAGAGGGGCUUGCGGCUGAUUAGCUAGUUGGUGGGGGUAAAGGCCUCCCAAGGCCACGAUCAGUAGCUGGUUUGAGAGGACGAUCAGCCACACUGGGACUGAGACACGGCCCAGACUCCUACGGGAGGCAGCAGUGAGGAAUUUUCCACAAUGGGCGAAAGCCUGAUGGAGCAAUACCGCGUGGGGGAUGAAGGUUCGUGGAUUAGUUUAUGGUCCACUUGUAAGUAAGGUUAGUUGUUAAUUAACAUAUGACAAUUUAUCGAAGAAAAUUCUAUUACGAGGCGCCCGCAGACAUCGUCGAGGACGACGAGUCUAGGUCGCCUCGUAGAGCUCGCCUCGCAGAGGCGACCUACAGAAUUUUCUUCGAGAACGACCCCGCCCAAAGAUUUUCAAUAUCCUAAAGGAUAUUGCCCGUGAGGGCAACUUCGAUAUUUGUUUUUUGUUAAGAUUCAUUAAUCUUACUUACAAUAAUAAAUUCGGUGAAUACAGGGACGCUAAGGUAUACAAUAAAUUAGUAUACUAUGCAAAUCUGUAGCGAAGUGCGGGGAAAUCUCAAGAAAAAAAAAAAAUUGUACCCGUAAACGCCUAAAGACUAGUUAGUGAGGAUGAGAAACCAAUAAUCUAACCACGAGCGCCGAACAACCUAAUUUUUAUUAGGUUGAUGAUAUAGUCUAAUCUUAAAGGAAACUUUAAGAAGUAUUGUAUAAAUAACAAUACGUUAAUAAUAUGCGUAAACCCCUUUUCUCAGAGAAGAAGUUCUGACGGUAUCUGAGGAAUAAGCUCCGGCUAAGAGAUUGGCCUCCUGUUUUGUGAAAAACAGGGAAAAUUUUCGGCUCAUAACGAUGAAUCCUUAAUUUAAAAAUAAUGGAUAAGGUGAUAUCGUGGGAAGUCUAAGAAACGUAAAAUGAAUUACGUAAGACCCCGUAACGACUGAGGAAAAGCAUAAGCUGAGUACGAGAUAAGAUGAUAGUUUUAUCCUGGAUAGUUUUAUCCUGUUGGAAUAAAACUGAAGUCUUAUAAAACGCCGACUACUUUAAAAAAGAAAAUAAAAAGUAGAAUGUAUAGUCUAUGCCGAAGUUAGAAACUUCGGGCUACAUGAACUCUGUGCCAGCAGCCGCGGUUUGGCUAAAAUUGCCGCAAUGUAUCUUAAGAUACAUUAAGAAUUCUGCUUAUAUUGAAGGAGCCUACACAAAAAGUAGGUAAUUUCAAGGGAAGCUUCUCUUUAAUUUAAAGAGAUAGCCCCUUAACGACUGACCCGAAAGGGGAGACUGAUUAUUGUUUAUCAUAAUAUUUUAAACAAAAUCGGUAAUACGCAGAACCUUAGCACAAUAAAAGAAACCUAGUUAUGUGUAAACUAGAAAAACAGGAGAAUAAUAAUAAUUAUGAAGAUGCGAUGAAAGUUGUUCGAGAACUUUACAAAUAGUUACACAUGGUUAACAACCUAAGGGUUCUGCUAAGGAUAAGAUAUAGUCUGAUCCCUAUUGUAAAAUAGGGUGUAAUCGAAUACAGGGGGAGCAAGCGUUAUCCGGAAUGAUUGGGCGUAAAGCGUCUGUAGGUGGUUCUUUAAGUCUACUGUCAAAUACGUUGGCUCAACCAACGGCAGGCAGUGGAGUACUAAAGAACUAGAGUGCGGUAGAGGUAGAGGGAAUCCCUAGCGUAACAGUGAAAUGUGUAGAUUUUAGGGAGAACACCAGCGGCGAAGGCGCUCUACUGGGCCGAUACUGACACUGAGAGACGAAAGCUAGAGGAGCGAAUAGGAUUAGAUAAAUCUGGGGCGCUCUAAAAUAUACCCCAAAGUGUCCUCAUUUCACUGAAAGGUGAGAUGUGAACCUAGCUAUAUCGGGGAAGGUCAUGCUUAAAACAUGAAUAAUCCCGAGGGAAGUAUGUAUUUAUAAGGUAUACCUUUUUAAAACAUACCCCUUAGAGACUAAACACUCUGGAAUUAUAAAACUUUUAGGUGGAGUUUUAUACAACUUUUGUACCAAAAGGUUCCAGAGUUGUUGCAACGCUGGGCUUCCGAAAUAAAAGAGGCGGACAAAACAACUUUAUUGCCCUCAUGGGCAACAAAGUUGCCCGUCCCCUAAGGGCUAGGACCUUGUCCGUCGCGUGAGGGGAACAAUUUUGUUGUUUUGUCCUGAGGAAAAAACCUUUGGUUUUUUCCGACUUGUUCAACCAGAAUUUCGCGCAUACGUGGAAGACUUUUAUGAACGAGUUAUAAACGGAAGAUGAUAUAGUCCACUGGUGGGUUCACCUAAUAAAUGGCCCGCCUUUGACCCUAGUAGUUCUAGCUGUAAACGAUGGAAACUAAGAGGGGGUAACCCCCUUCUGUAGCUAACGCGUUAAGUUUCCCGCCUGGGGAGUAUGCUCGCAAGAGUGAAACUCAAAGGAAUUGACGGGAGACCACACAAUAGGUAAACCGAUAAUCUGCCUAGUGGCUUUGUGAAAAGCUAUAGUCUUUUAAACACUAAAAGUCUUCUCGUCAAAAAAGAAAUAGUGGCAUAACAAUAAACUUUAUUGUUAUGUAAGGCAAAAAACUGGCUCAAAACGACGAAAAUCGAGAAUUCUCGGCAACAUCGUGGAUUUUAAAAUAUACACCGGACCAGGGCCCCUUGGUUUUUUCCGACUCGUAUAGUUAUAUUAGUUUGGUGUAUAAUAUUUUAAAGUCUGUAACGACUCAUUCGUAUCUUAGUUGAGAUAGUUUACUUUUUUAAAAAAAGUAAAUAAGAAUGGACUAUACAAACGUAUAGUAAUACGGCCAGCUCUUUUAAGGAACUCCUUUUUUUAUUUUUAUUUUUAUUUUUAUUUUUAUUUUUAUUUUUAUUUCAAAACUUAUUGAGUUCCUCAAGGUUAACAACCUUUAAUAAAAGAUGAAUGCAUAGUCUAAAUUCCAUUGAAAAAUGGAUAGUCAUAAAUCUCUUUUGGGAUUAUGCGGUUUAAUUUGAUGCAACGCAAAGAACCUUACCAGGGUUUGACAUGUCUAGAAUUUUUCAGAAAUGAAAAAGUGCUUCCUUUUUAUGAAAGGAAGAACUAGAACACAGGUGGUGCAUGGCUGUCGUCAGCUCGUGCGUUGACGUGUAUGGUUAAGUCCUGCAACGAGCGCAACCCUCGUCUUUAGUUACUUUCCAAGUUCUCUAAAGAGACUGCGCGCGCAAGCGCUGAGGAAGGUGAGGAUGACGUCAAGUCAGCAUGCCCCUUACACCCUGGGCGACACGCGUAAUACAAUGGUUGGGACAAUCAGAAGCUACCCCGCAAGGGCACGCCAAUCUGUUAAACUCAACCCUAGUUCGGAUUGUAGGCUGCAACUCGCCUACAUGAAGCCGGAAUCUAUAGUAAUCGCCAGUCAGCUAUAUGGCGGUGAAUACGUUCCUGGUCUCUGU
rnacentral:rRNA from 1 species